UCGCGCAGUACGGGAGAGACCAUCGUUCGAUGGCGCCGACGGAGCAACCGCCCCGGAAACUCUCAGGCAAAAGGACCGUGCCGCGCGU
rnacentral:ncRNA from 2 species